rnacentral:misc_RNA from 1 species
AUGCAGUUACAUGCUGUAGCGUUUGCCGGUUUUAUCUCCGUUGUACUUUCUCAAAGUCACCAUCAUGACAUUGCUUUAGCUGUGGAUAGGACCUUUGAUUUGAUUGAUUUCAACCCCAAGGACGGUAACCUACAAUACCAGGAGCUUAGCAUGGGAUUCGAUUAUAUAGACACUAAUGAUGAUGGCGUGCUUUCAUUUGAGGAAUACAUCAAUGUUACAAACUCUGAACCAAUUCAGCGAGACAUCUUCAACCACUACGAUACAAACAAAGAUGGAGUCCUUCAGAAAACAGAAUAUGUUGACACUCCAUUCAGGGCAAUGGACCACAAUGGGGACAACGUAGUGACAAGACAUGAUUACGAUCACUUCUACACCAAUAUGAUUCAUCAUAUUCUACAGCAGCAGCACGGACAUAAUGGACGUUAGGGAUUCCAUGUACACCUGAAAAUAAAUGAUGAAUAUUUC